rnacentral:rRNA from 1 species
GUAGGGAAUAUUGCGCAAUGGACGAAAGUCUGACGCAGCGACGCCGCGUGAGUGAUGAAGGCCUUAGGGUCGUAAAGCUCUGUUGAAUGGGAAGAAAAAAAUGACGGUACCAUUCGAGGAAGGACCGGCUAACUUCGUGCCAGCAGCCGCGGUAAUACGAGGGGUCCUAGCGUUGUUCGGAAUCAUUGGGCGUAAAGGGUGUGUAGGUGGCCAUGUAAGUCAGGUGUGAAAGCCCCGGGCUCAACCCGGGAAGUGCACUUGAUACUGCGUGGCUUGAGUACCGAAGAGGGUAGUGGAAUUCCAGGUGUAGUGGUGAAAUACGUAGAUAUCUGGAGGAACACCGAUGGCGAAGGCGGCUACCUGGUCGAGUACUGACACUGAGACACGAAAGCAUGGGGAUCAAACAGGAUUAGAUACCUCGGUAGUCC